rnacentral:rRNA from 1 species
UAAGAGUACGUAGGCGGUGAUUCAAGUCAGAGGUGAAAGCCUGGAGCUCAACUCCAGAACUGCCUUUGAAACUAGAUCGCUAGAAUUGUGGAGAGGUUAGUGGAAUUCCGAGUGUAGAGGUGAAAUUCGUAGAUAUUCGGAAGAACACCAGUGGCGAAGGCGACUAACUGGACACAUAUUGACGCUGAGGUACGAAAGCGUGGGGAGCAAACAGGAUUAGAUACCCGUGU